AGAUAUGAUGACCAAGGUGGUAACAACAAUCAAGUUUAAUCAUUGUUUGAACUUGAUUAACAUUCUGAGAAUUUGAGCAGCUUCAGGUGUAUGGCGCUCGAGAGCGCAUUUGUAGGCACUACAAAAGAUAGCUUUAUCGAAUUUGGGGAGUUGAAGGAAGUGUGUGAAGAUGUGAUUAUCCUAAUCAAAUCUUAAAGGUGGAGAUUGUUAACAUUAAUGGAAGACAAUUAAUAAUGGUUGCCAUUAACAUUAAUGGGAGACAAUCAAUAAUGACAACCACCAACUUUGGAAAAGUGGCAAGGGAUAAUUUUUUUUUGGUCCUUGAGAUAAUGGGCUAUUUAUUGUUUGGUCCUUGAACCUCAACUAUAAAUAGGCCUUCUCAUUUCUCAUUUCAAUUCAUCCCAACCAAUCUUUCUCUCUUAGUUUUCUCUCUUCUCCCAUUUGAGAAUUCUUAAGGAAUUCUAUUUGUUUGUAAUACUUUGGAGAUAGUAAAGUUAUCAUCUGGUGUUAGUGCCCGAGGACGUAGGUAUAAUUUACCGAACCUCGUUAAAUCUCUUGUGUUCUUUCUUGUCCUAUUUUUCUUUCAAUAUUUGAGGGUAUAAUAGUAGUAUUUAAUUGUGCUAUUAAAUUACUAUAGAAGGGAUAUUUUGUCUAAGGAAAGACUUGGUAUUUAAGAGAUCUAUGUGAUCCACCUCUCUUCCCUGGGAAUUGAACUUUGUGUGAUUUUUUAGUACAAUAAUUUACACGCUUCCGACCCUAUUGGAAC
rnacentral:lncRNA from 1 species